UCCGAGUUGACCCCAUAUCUCUAUGAGUUUUCGGUAUAUGUCAAGCCUUGGUAAGGUUCUUCGCGUUGCGUCGAAUUAAGCCACAUGCUCCACCGCUUGUGCGGACCCCCGUCAAUUCCUUUGAGUUUCAAUCUUGCGAUCGUACUUCCCAGGUGGGAUACUUAAUGCUUUCGCUCAGACACCAACUGUGUAUCGCUGAUGUCGAGUAUCCAUCGUUUAGGGCGUGGACUAC
rnacentral:misc_RNA from 1 species